rfam:Trichuris suis scaffold74.10, whole genome shotgun sequence.
GGGGUUAUAGCUCAGAGGUAGAGCGUCCGCUUCGCAUGCGGAAAGUCCGGGGUUCAAUCCCCCGCAACUCCA